CAACCAUCUGAUCUUUGACAAACCUGACAAAAACAAGCAAUGAGGAAAAGAUUUCCUGUUUAACAAAUUAUGUUGGCAAAACUGGCCAGCAAUAGGCAGAAAACUGAAAUUGGACCCCUUCCUAACAUGUUACACAAAAAUUAAUUCAAAUGGAUUAAAGACUU